AGGACGAACGCUGGCGGCGUGCUUAACACAUGCAAGUCGAGCGGAAAGGCCCUUCGGGGUACUCGAGCGGCGAACGGGUGAGUAACACGUGAGUAAUCUGCCCCUAGCUCUGGGAUAGCUCCGGGAAACCGGGAUUAAUACCGGAUAUGACCACUUUAGACAUCUGUUGUGGUGGAAAGAAUUUCGGCUAGGGAUGAGCUCGCGGCCUAUCAGCUUGUUGGUGGGGUAACGGCCUACCAAGGCGACGACGGGUAGCCGGCCUGAGAGGGCGACCGGCCACACUGGGACUGAGACACGGCCCAGACUCCUACGGGAGGCAGCAGUGGGGAAUAUUGCGCAAUGGGCGAAAGCCUGACGCAGCGACGCCGCGUGGGGGAUGAAGGCCUUCGGGUUGUAAACCCUUUCAGCAGGGACGAAGCGAAAGUGACGGUACCUGCAGAAGAAGCGCCGGCUAACUACGUGCCAGCAGCCGC
rnacentral:rRNA from 1 species